CUUAAAGAUAAUACCUCUGGUUGCCCCGUGGGGCUGGAGAGAUGGCUCAGUGGUUAAGAGCACCGGCUGCCCUUCUAGGAGACCUGGGUUCAAUUCCCUGCACCUACAUGGUGAUUCACAAUUUUCUGUAGCCUCAGUUGCAGGGGAACUGACACCCCUUCUGGCCUUCUGGGGCACUGCGGUCAUGUGGUGCAUAUACAAAUUUGGAGAUAAGACACUCAUAACACAAAAUAAAAAGGGAAAGUAUUUUUUAAAGGUGGAGAAUAUGAAUUGUGGAGACCUCUGGUCACCCCUGACCCAGCAUCUGGCUGAGAAAUGUAAUAGUUAAUCUACGAGGCGGCUUCCUACAGCUUCUGCGGACAGGCUGGGAUGGAUUCAAGGUAGGCCAAGGGACACAGGCUCUGGCCAGAAGAAGCUCUUAAUACAAUUUUAUAGAAAACAAAACCAAAAGACCUACUUAAUGGUAUUGCUUUGAAAAAACGCCAAGUUCUAAAAAUGAAGUCGAAAGAAAACAGACCCACAUUUCCUUCCUACUUGCAAGCCUGUCUUUCAAAGCAUCCACUGCCUGGAAGGGCCGUUUGAAAAUCAGAUCCGCCCAGCUCUUUCUCAGAGCCCAGCACAGGGCAGGAGCGGGUAACACCGAGGGAGGGAAGCUUGAAGCGGCUUGCAGCGGGUCUGUUCUCAUCGCGGCCGCUCAUCCCUCCCACGUGUCCAACCCAGUGGGUCUGCGCUGCAGCACGCACCGCUUCAGCCCUGAGACUCUGGCCGGGUUCCAGGCGGUGUAGGCCCUGCUGGAAGGAGCCAGAGGAAUGCCUGCAAGGCUGAGCGCAUUCCGGGGCCGUGUGCAAAUGCUGAUGCAAUCACCGCAGCGUUCUGGGGGCAGCCAGGCGCUGUAACCCCCAGCCCAGCAGGAAGGUCGGUGAUGCAAGCUCGUUCAGGAGAAAGUCCCGGCUGCUGAGACGGACCUUGGGCUGUUGGAGCUGCAAGUGCCUGACUCACGCUUCUCAGCCCAUGCCAGCAUUUCAGAGGGAAGCGAUGCAGUCUCCCCCACUUCUUCCUCUGCUCGCCCCCUGAAGGCAAGCGUCCUUUCUCCGCCUUCCACUGACUACACAUAACUCUCUGGGAGAUCUCAGACACACCCCUCACUCAAACCCUCACCCUUGUGGAUCUCAAGCUGUUUCCAGCCUUGACCUCAUUCCUGAGCCCCUCGCCCACCGAGCCAUCCGGGAGCCCAGCAUCUUCGUCACCUCUCAGCAUCUCACACGUAUCCAGAAGGGGUCUGUUCUUCGGCCUUGGACCCGGCUCUCAGCUCCAGCUUAGUUCAUUUCUAGGUGUUCAAGCCUCCACACGCCCCCUCGUGGUGCAGCUUUUUGGCCUUUUUCAUUCCAACUCCAUCACUGUCAAUUCCGGUGCUCAAGUGUUGGCCAAGUGACUGGCCCCGUUUUCCUUUGCUUCCCACUCCUCCAAGCAAUGCAUUCUUCACACUGCCAGAAGGAUGUGGGAUACUGCCUCCACCAGGUGGUCAUUCCCUUAUGAACAAGUGCAAAGCACAAAAAGACAGACAUUGGCAAGUGUGGGCGAGGAUACAGGGCAGCCCAAGCCUUGGUGCAGAUCCUGGUGGGUGUGUGGAAAGGCAAACAACUCUGGAAAACUGGUUGCAUCCAUUAAAGAGGGAAAUACAUAAUCAUGGCCUAACGAGACUGCUGCAAGAUUCAAACCCAGCAAAUACACAGCCACUAGAGCAGCACUCUCAACUUGUGGGUCACGACCCCUUUUUUGGGGGGGUGUCAAAUGACCAUUUCACCAGGGUCACCUAAGACCGUUGGAAAGCACAGAUAGUCAUUAUAAUUCAUAACAGUAGCAAUAAAAAUAAUAUGGUUGGGGGUCAUGAGGAACUGUAUGACAGGGUCUCAGCAUAUUAGGAAGGCUGUGAACCACUGCCCCAGAGCAUCACAGGGCACUGAAGAAAGGUGCUGUCUGUGGAUGGGGCUGUUACAGAGCAGAAAGAAGAAACCCGACUUGUGUGUAGUGUAAGUCACAUACAUAGGUAAGACAGGGGGAAGUCCCUGGUGUGGCCAGGAUGGUGCUUUGUCUGUGUGUAUAGAGUUCCUGAGAGGGACCACCAUGACAUUCAGGAGUUUUUGAUUGUUUGUUUGAUUGUUUUGGUUUUUCGAGACAGGGUUUCUCUGUGUAGCUUUGGAGCCUAUCUUGGCACUCGCUCUGGAGACCAGGCUGGCCUCGAACUCACAGAGAUUUGCCUGCCUCUGCCUCCCGAGUGCUGGGAUUAAAGGCUUGCGCCACCAAUGCCCGGCGACAUUCAGGAGUUUUAGCAAUAAUUUGUAUCUUUUAAAAAUUAUUUCUGGGCUGGAGAGAUUGCUCACAGGUUAAGAGCACUGGCUGCUCUUCCAGAGGUCCUGAGUUCAAUUCCCAGCAACCACAUGGUGGCUCACAACCAUCCCUUAUGAGAUCUGGUGCCCUCUUCAGGUGUGCAGAUAUACAUGUAAGCAGAAUGUUGUAUACACAUAAAUAAAAUAAAUAAAAUCUUUAAAAAAGUUAUUUUUAUUAAUUUAAAAUUAUGUAUCAAUAUUGUGUGACUAUGUGCACAGGAGUGCAAGUACCCUCUGAAUCCAGAAGAGGGCGCCAGAUCCCCUGGAGCUGGAGUUAACAGAUGAAGGUG
ensembl:lncRNA